rnacentral:rRNA from 1 species
AGAGUUUGAUCCUGGCUCAGGAUGAACGCUGGCGGCGUGCUUAACACAUGCAAGUCGAACGAACCUUCGGGUUAGUGGCGGACGGGUGAGUAACGCGUGAGAAUCUGCCCUCAGGAGGGGGAUAACGGCUGGAAACGGCCGCUAAUACCCCAUAUGCCGAGAGGUGAAAUGAAUUUCGCCUGAGGAUGAGCUCGCGUCUGAUUAGCUAGUUGGUGGGGUAAGAGCCUACCAAGGCUUCGAUCAGUAGCUGGUCUGAGAGGAUGAUCAGCCACACUGGGACUGAGACACGGCCCAGACUCCUACGGGAGGCAGCAGUGGGGAAUUUUCCGCAAUGGGCGAAAGCCUGACGGAGCAACGCCGCGUGAGGGAUGAAGGCCUCUGGGCUGUAAACCUCUUUUCUCAAGGAAGAAGAUCUGACGGUACUUGAGGAAUAAGCCACGGCUAAUUCCGUGCCAGCAGCCGCGGUAAUACGGGAGUGGCAAGCGUUAUCCGGAAUUAUUGGGCGUAAAGCGUCCGCAGGCGGCCUUGAAAGUCUGCUGUUAAAGCGUGGAGCUUAACUCCAUUUCAGCAGUGGAAACUACAAGGCUAGAGUGUGGUAGGGGCAGAGGGAAUUCCCGGUGUAGCGGUGAAAUGCGUAGAUAUCGGGAAGAACACCAGUGGCGAAGGCGCUCUGCUGGGCCAUAACUGACGCUCAUGGACGAAAGCCAGGGGAGCGAAAGGGAUUAGAUACCCCUGUAGUCCUGGCCGUAAACGAUGAACACUAGGUGUCGGGGGAAUCGACCCCUCCGGUGUCGUAGCCAACGCGUUAAGUGUUCCGCCUGGGGAGUACGCACGCAAGUGUGAAACUCAAAGGAAUUGACGGGGGCCCGCACAAGCGGUGGAGUAUGUGGUUUAAUUCGAUGCAACGCGAAGAACCUUACCAGGGUUUGACAUCCUGCGAAUCCCUUGGAAACGAGGGAGUGCCUUCGGGAGCGCAGUGACAGGUGGUGCAUGGCUGUCGUCAGCUCGUGUCGUGAGAUGUUGGGUUAAGUCCCGCAACGAGCGCAACCCACGUCUUUAGUUGCCAGCAUUGAGUUGGGCACUCUAGAGAGACCGCCGGUGAUAAACCGGAGGAAGGUGUGGAUGACGUCAAGUCAUCAUGCCCCUUACAUCCUGGGCUACACACGUACUACAAUGCUACGGACAAAGGGCAGCAAACUCGCGAGAGCUAGCAAAUCCCAUAAACCGUGGCUCAGUUCAGAUCGUAGGCUGCAACUCGCCUACGUGAAGGAGGAAUCGCUAGUAAUCGCAGGUCAGCAUACUGCGGUGAAUACGUUCCCGGGCCUUGUACACACCGCCCGUCACACCAUGGAAGUUGGCCACGCCCGAAGUCGUUACUCCAACCCGCAAGGGAGGAGGAUGCCGAAGGUGGGGCUGAUGACUGGGGUGAAGUCGUAACAAGGUA